GACGAAUGCUGGCUGCGUGCUUAACACAUGCAAGUCGAACGGUGAAGGAGAGCUUGCUCUCCGGAUCAGUGGCGAACGGGUGAGUAACACGUGGGCAACCUGCCCCUCACUCUGGGAUAACGCCGGGAAACCGGCGCUAAUACCGGAUACGACCAGGCGCGACAUCUCGCCUGGUGGAAAGAAUUUCGGUGAGGGAUGGGCCCGCGGCCUAUCAGCUUGUUGGUGGGGUAACGGCCCACCAAGGCGACGAUGGGUAGCCGGCCUGAGAGGGCGACCGGCCACACUGGGACUGAGACACGGCCCAGACUCCUACGGGAGGCAGCAGGGGGGAAUAUUGCUCAAUGGGCGAAAGCCUGACGCAGCGACGCAGCGUGAGGGACGACGGCCUUCGGGUUGUAAACCUCUUUCAGCGGGGACGAAGCGAAAGUGACGGUACCCGCAGAAGAAGCACCGGCUAACUACGUGCCAGCCGCCGCCGUAA
rnacentral:rRNA from 1 species